GCAGUAGCCGCGGUAAUACGUAGGUGGCAAGCGUUGUCCGGAAUUAUUGGGCGUAAAGGGCUCGCAGGCGGUUUCUUAAGUCUGAUGUGAAAGCCCCCGGCUCAACCGGGGAGGGUCAUUGGAAACUGGGAAACUUGAGUGCAGAAGAGGAGAGUGGAAUUCCACGUGUAGCGGUGAAAUGCGUAGAGAUGUGGAGGAACACCAGUGGUGAAGGCGACUCUCUGGUCUGUAACUGACGCUGAGGAGCGAAAGCGUGGGGAGCGAACAGGAUUAGAUACCCGAGUAGUCCCUGUCUCUUAUAC
rnacentral:rRNA from 1 species